rnacentral:rRNA from 1 species
GAUUGAACGCUGGCGGCAUGCCUUACACAUGUAAGUCGAACGGCAGCACGGGUGCUUGCACCUGGUGGCGAGUGGCGAACGGGUGAGUAAUACAUCGGAACAUGUCCUGUAGUGGGGGAUAGCCCGGCGAAAGCCGGAUUAAUACCGCAUACGAUCUACGGAUGAAAGCGGGGGACCUUCGGGCCUCGCGCUAUAGGGUUGGCCGAUGGCUGAUUAGCUAGUUGGUGGGGUAAAGGCCUACCAAGGCGACGAUCAGUAGCUGGUCUGAGAGGACGACCAGCCACACUGGGGCUGAGACACGGCCCAGACUCCUACGGGAGGCAGCAGUGGGGAAUUUUGGACAAUGGGCGAAAGCCUGAUCCAGCAAUGCCGCGUGUGUGAAGAAGGCCUUCGGGUUGUAAAGCACUUUUGUCCGGAAAGAAAUCCUUGGCUCUAAUACAGUCGGGGGAUGACGGUACCGGAAGAAUAAGCACCGGCUAACUACGUGCCAGCAGCCGCGGUAAUACGUAGGGUGCGAGCGUUAAUCGGAAUUACUGGGCGUAAAGCGUGCGCAGGCGGUUUGCUAAGACCGAUGUGAAAUCCCCGGGCUCAACCUGGGAACUGCAUUGGUGACUGGCAGGCUAGAGUAUGGCAGAGGGGGGUAGAAUUCCACGUGUAGCAGUGAAAUGCGUAGAGAUGUGGAGGAAUACCGAUGGCGAAGGCAGCCCCCUGGGCCAAUACUGACGCUCAUGCACGAAAGCGUGGGGAGCAAACAGGAUUAGAUACCCUGGUAGUCCACGCCCUAAACGAUGUCAACUAGUUGUUGGGGAUUCAUUUCCUUAGUAACGUAGCUAACGCGUGAAGUUGACCGCCUGGGGAGUACGGUCGCAAGAUUAAAACUCAAAGGAAUUGACGGGGACCCGCACAAGCGGUGGAUGAUGUGGAUUAAUUCGAUGCAACGCGAAAAACCUUACCUACCCUUGACAUGGUCGGAAUCCUGCUGAGAGGUGGGAGUGCUCGAAAGAGAACCGGCGCACAGGUGCUGCAUGGCUGUCGUCAGCUCGUGUCGUGAGAUGUUGGGUUAAGUCCCGCAACGAGCGCAACCCUUGUCCUUAGUUGCUACGCAAGAGCACUCUAAGGAGACUGCCGGUGACAAACCGGAGGAAGGUGGGGAUGACGUCAAGUCCUCAUGGCCCUUAUGGGUAGGGCUUCACACGUCAUACAAUGGUCGGAACAGAGGGUUGCCAACCCGCGAGGGGGAGCUAAUCCCAGAAAACCGAUCGUAGUCCGGAUUGCACUCUGCAACUCGAGUGCAUGAAGCUGGAAUCGCUAGUAAUCGCGGAUCAGCAUGCCGCGGUGAAUACGUUCCCGGGUCUUGUACACACCGC